CGGUAAGACGGAGGUGGCAAGCGUUGCUCGGAAUUACUGGGCUUAAAGGGUGUGUAGGCGGUCGGGUAAGCGUCUUGUGAAAUCCCUCGGCUCAACCGAGGAACUGCUUGGCGAACUGCCUGACUUGAGGCGCGUAGAGGCCAAUGGAACUCUGGGUGGAGCGGUGAAAUGCGUAGAUAUCCAGGGGAACGCCAGUGGCGAAAGCGAUUGGCUGGGCGCGUCCUGACGCUGAGGCACGAAAGCGUGGGGAGCGAACGGGAUUAGAUACCCCGGUAGUCCACACCGUAAACGAUGUGCACUAGGUUCGAGAGCUUCUGACAGUUUUCGGGCCGAAGGGAAACUGUUAAGUGCACCGCCUGGGGAGUACGGCCGCAAGGCUAAAACUCAAAGGAAUUGACGGGGGCUCACACAAGCGGUGGAGCAUGUGGCUUAAUUCGAAGCAACGCGAAGAACCUUACCUGGGUUUGACAUGCUUGGAUGCCGCCGCCGAAAGGUGGUCAGGCUGCCCUUCGGGGUGAAACUUGCACAGGUGCGGCAUGGCUGUCGUCAGCUCGUGCCGUGAGGUGUUGGGUUAAGUCCCGUAACGAGCGAAACCCUUGCCGCUAGUUGCCAGUGGGUAAUGCCACGCACCCUAGCGGGACUGCCGGCGUUAAGCCGGAGGAAGGUGGGGACGACGUCAAGUCAUCAUGGCCUUUAUGCCCAGGGAUGCACACGUGCUACAAUGCCCGUCACAAAGCGACGCUAAACCGCGAGGUGGAGCAAAUCGCAAAAAGGCGGGCUCAGUUCGGAUCGCAGUCUGCAAUUCGACUGCGUGAAGGCGGAAUCGCUAGUAAUCGCGUAUCAGCUAUGACGCGGUGAAUAUGUUCCUGAG
rnacentral:rRNA from 1 species